CCUACGGGGGGCUGCAGUGGGGAAUAUUGGGCAAUGGGCGAAAGCCUGACCCAGCAACGCCGCGUGAGGGAAGAAGGUUCUCGGAUUGUAAACCUCUGUCCUUGGGGAAGAAAAAAAUGACGGUACCCAGGGAGGAAGCCCCGGCUAACUACGUGCCAGCAGCCGCGGUAAUACGUAGGGGGCAAGCGUUGUCCGGAAUUACUGGGCGUAAAGGGUGCGUAGGCGGUUGCCUAAGUCAGAUGUGAAAUCCCCGGGCUUAACCCGGGUGGUGCAUUUGAAACUGGGUAACUAGAGUGCAGGAGAGGGAAGCGGAAUUCCUAGUGUAGCGGUGAAAUGCGUAGAUAUUAGGAGGAACACCAGUGGCGAAGGCGGCUUUCUGGACUGUAACUGACGCUGAGGCACGAAAGCGUGGGGAGCAAACAGGAUUAGAUACCCCGGUAGUC
rnacentral:rRNA from 1 species